AGCGUACACGGUGGAUGCCCUGGCAGUCAGAGGCGAUGAAGGACGUGCUAAUCUGCGAUAAGCGUCGGUAAGGUGAUAUGAACCGUUAUAACCGGCGAUUUCCGAAUGGGGAAACCCAGUGUGUUUCGACACACUAUCAUUAACUGAAUCCAUAGGUUAAUGAGGCGAACCGGGGGAACUGAAACAUCUAAGUACCCCGAGGAAAAGAAAUCAACCGAGAUUCCCCCAGUAGCGGCGAGCGAACGGGGAGCAGCCCAGAGCCUGAAUCAGUGUGUGUGUUAGUGGAAGCGUCUGGAAAGGCGCGCGAUACAGGGUGACAGCCCCGUACACAAAAAUGCACAUGCUGUGAGCUCGAUGAGUAGGGCGGGACACGUGGUAUCCUGUCUGAAUAUGGGGGGACCAUCCUCCAAGGCUAAAUACUCCUGACUGACCGAUAGUGAACCAGUACCGUGAGGGAAAGGCGAAAAGAACCCCGGCGAGGGGAGUGAAAAAGAACCUGAAACCGUGUACGUACAAGCAGUGGGAGCACGCUUAGGCGUGUGACUGCGUACCUUUUGUAUAAUGGGUCAGCGACUUAUAUUCUGUAGCAAGGUUAACCGAAUAGGGGAGCCGAAGGGAAACCGAGUCUUAACUGGGCGUUAAGUUGCAGGGUAUAGACCCGAAACCCGGUGAUCUAGCCAUGGGCAGGUUGAAGGUUGGGUAACACUAACUGGAGGACCGAACCGACUAAUGUUGAAAAAUUAGCGGAUGACUUGUGGCUGGGGGUGAAAGGCCAAUCAAACCGGGAGAUAGCUGGUUCUCCCCGAAAGCUAUUUAGGUAGCGCCUCGUGAAUUCAUCUCCGGGGGUAGAGCACUGUUUCGGCAAGGGGGUCAUCCCGACUUACCAACCCGAUGCAAACUGCGAAUACCGGAGAAUGUUAUCACGGGAGACACACGGCGGGUGCUAACGUCCGUCGUGAAGAGGGAAACAACCCAGACCGCCAGCUAAGGUCCCAAAGUCAUGGUUAAGUGGGAAACGAUGUGGGAAGGCCCAGACAGCCAGGAUGUUGGCUUAGAAGCAGCCAUCAUUUAAAGAAAGCGUAAUAGCUCACUGGUCGAGUCGGCCUGCGCGGAAGAUGUAACGGGGCUAAACCAUGCACCGAAGCUGCGGCAGCGACGCUGAUGCGUUGUUGGGUAGGGGAGCGUUCUGUAAGCCUGCGAAGGUGUGCUGUGAGGCAUGCUGGAGGUAUCAGAAGUGCGAAUGCUGACAUAAGUAACGAUAAAGCGGGUGAAAAGCCCGCUCGCCGGAAGACCAAGGGUUCCUGUCCAACGUUAAUCGGGGCAGGGUGAGUCGACCCCUAAGGCGAGGCCGAAAGGCGUAGUCGAUGGGAAACAGGUUAAUAUUCCUGUACUUGGUGUUACUGCGAAGGGGGGACGGAGAAGGCUAUGUUGGCCGGGCGACGGUUGUCCCGGUUUAAGCGUGUAGGCUGGUUUUCCAGGCAAAUCCGGAAAAUCAAGGCUGAGGCGUGAUGACGAGGCACUACGGUGCUGAAGCAACAAAUGCCCUGCUUCCAGGAAAAGCCUCUAAGCAUCAGGUAACAUCAAAUCGUACCCCAAACCGACACAGGUGGUCAGGUAGAGAAUACCAAGGCGCUUGAGAGAACUCGGGUGAAGGAACUAGGCAAAAUGGUGCCGUAACUUCGGGAGAAGGCACGCUGAUAUGUAGGUGAAGUCCCUCGCGGAUGGAGCUGAAAUCAGUCGAAGAUACCAGCUGGCUGCAACUGUUUAUUAAAAACACAGCACUGUGCAAACACGAAAGUGGACGUAUACGGUGUGACGCCUGCCCGGUGCCGGAAGGUUAAUUGAUGGGGUUAGCGCAAGCGAAGCUCUUGAUCGAAGCCCCGGUAAACGGCGGCCGUAACUAUAACGGUCCUAAGGUAGCGAAAUUCCUUGUCGGGUAAGUUCCGACCUGCACGAAUGGCGUAAUGAUGGCCAGGCUGUCUCCACCCGAGACUCAGUGAAAUUGAACUCGCUGUGAAGAUGCAGUGUACCCGCGGCAAGACGGAAAGACCCCGUGAACCUUUACUAUAGCUUGACACUGAACAUUGAGCCUUGAUGUGUAGGAUAGGUGGGAGGCUUUGAAGUGUGGACGCCAGUCUGCAUGGAGCCGACCUUGAAAUACCACCCUUUAAUGUUUGAUGUUCUAACGUUGACCCGUAAUCCGGGUUGCGGACAGUGUCUGGUGGGUAGUUUGACUGGGGCGGUCUCCUCCUAAAGAGUAACGGAGGAGCACGAAGGUUGGCUAAUCCUGGUCGGACAUCAGGAGGUUAGUGCAAUGGCAUAAGCCAGCUUGACUGCGAGCGUGACGGCGCGAGCAGGUGCGAAAGCAGGUCAUAGUGAUCCGGUGGUUCUGAAUGGAAGGGCCAUCGCUCAACGGAUAAAAGGUACUCCGGGGAUAACAGGCUGAUACCGCCCAAGAGUUCAUAUCGACGGCGGUGUUUGGCACCUCGAUGUCGGCUCAUCACAUCCUGGGGCUGAAGUAGGUCCCAAGGGUAUGGCUGUUCGCCAUUUAAAGUGGUACGCGAGCUGGGUUUAGAACGUCGUGAGACAGUUCGGUCCCUAUCUGCCGUGGGCGCUGGAGAACUGAGGGGGGCUGCUCCUAGUACGAGAGGACCGGAGUGGACGCAUCACUGGUGUUCGGGUUGUCAUGCCAAUGGCACUGCCCGGUAGCUAAAUGCGGAAGAGAUAAGUGCUGAAAGCAUCUAAGCACGAAACUUGCCCCGAGAUGAGUUCUCCCUGACUCCUUGA
rnacentral:rRNA from 1 species